rnacentral:misc_RNA from 1 species
UCCGCUUUACAGCGGCAGUUUGUUUCGAGUUCCCGGCUUUACCCGCUGGUAACAAAACAUGAGGGUUGCGCUCGUUGCGGGACUUAACCCAACAUUUCACAACACGAGCUGACGACAGCCAUGCACCACCUGUGUACCACCCUCGAAGGCGACCGGCUUUCACCGGCUUGCAGGUACAUGUCAAGCCCUGGUAAGGUUCUUCGCGUUGCAUCGAAUUAAGCCACAUGCUCCACCGCUUGUGCGGGCCCCCGCCAAUUCCUUUGAGUUUUAAUCUUGCGAUCGUAGUUCCCAGGCGGUUCACUUAAUGCGUUAGCUGCGGCACCGAAUCUUGCGACCCGACACCUAGUGAACAUCGUUUACGGCCAAGACUAC